AUUUGGGAUUGCAUUCAAUUAAACUGGAGUCUAUAAGAGUGUCAUGAGGCAAGAUGGAGUUUCUUAUUGAAGGUGAAGUCCAAGCAAGACCAGCAACAGCAUCGUGACAGAGCAUCUCAUGGAACUACUGAUCUACAAAAUACUUUGGAAGUCCUAGUACAGUUUGAGCUUGUGCACAAAAUAUGGAGCAUUUCAAAUUGACCAGUCUUAAGUAAGUGAAGAAGACAAAGUUGGAAAGACCCUGCACUUGAUGGAUCAGCUGGCACCACCCAGAUCAAUAAACUGGCUCAUCUGAUCUUCUGGACCCCCACCCAGGAAAUGAUUCAGCACAAGAAGACAGCUCUGACUCCCUAUGAUUUCAUCUCUGACCAAUCAGCUCUCCUGGAACACUGGCUUCCCCCACCCACCAAGUUAUCCUUAAAAACUCUG